UUUCUCUUGUCUGUACCUAAUAAGUUUUUUCAGAAUUCAGAAAAUUCACCAGUUAGUAUGAAGCACCUGAGUUCUAAAAUAAAAGAUGGCAUUUCACAUUUGGAGUGUCAGGAAGCGCCUAUUUUUACUUACCGAUGGCUGCCCACUCUGAGAAAAUCUAACAUGAGUUAUUUUUCUGGUAGCCUAUGGUUUAAUCUUUUUGGUUUGUAUGUGGAUCCAGACAUGUGGUGGCUAAAGCAUAUAUAUUUGGGGAGAUCAUCGUUAGAGAAAAUAGAAAUAAAUUCCAGUACAUAUUAGGUACAAAAAUAAAUAUGUAAUUUAAAUGAGGGGGGAAAUUACAACAAAAUGCAAUUUAGAAAGCAAAAAUAAGCUAUAAACAUUGCUUAAUAAAGAUCACCCUCACAAAUGCAGGUGAGCAUCAUCAUCUAAUUUGCUGAGAGCCUACAUAGAACAAAAAGGCAGAGGAAGAGUUAGUUUGUUGCUGCUUGAGCUGGCAUACCCAUCCACCUUCUUCUGCCCUUGGACAUUGAUGCUCCUGCUUCUUGGCACCUACACCAUCAGCUUCCCUGUUUCUCAAGCCUUCAGGGUGGAAAUGAAUUACAAAGCCAGCUUUUCUGGUUCUCCAGCUUGUAGACAGCAGAUACUGGGACUUCUAGAUCUCCAUAAUCAUCAUACCACAUACUCCAGCAUUUACAAGGACAUGUUGAUAUUGCUAUAUAAUCGCCAGUCCUGCUUCUGAUCAUGAUGUCCAGAUGAGUCAGCCUGAUGAGCUAUAAAGGGGAAAGCAUGAACACAGU
rnacentral:lncRNA from 10 species